rnacentral:rRNA from 1 species
UACGAAGGGGGCUAGCGUUGUUCGGAUUUACUGGGCGUAAAGCGUGCGUAGGCGGCUUGUCAAGUCAGAAGUGAAAGCCCGGGGCUCAACUCCGGAACUGCUUUUGAGACUGGCAGGCUUGAGUUCGGGAGAGGGUAGUGGAAUUCCCAGUGUAGAGGUGAAAUUCGUAGAUAUUGGGAAGAACACCGGUGGCGAAGGCGGCUGCCUGGCCCGAAACUGACGCUGAGGCACGAAAGCGUGGGGAGCAAACAGG